rnacentral:rRNA from 1 species
UACGAAGGGGGCUAGCGUUGCUCGGAAUCACUGGGCGUAAAGGGCGCGUAGGCGGCCAUUCAAGUCGGGGGUGAAAGCCUGUGGCUCAACCACAGAACUGCCUUCGAUACUGUUUGGCUUGAGUUUGGUAGAGGUUGGUGGAACUGCGAGUGUAGAGGUGAAAUUCGUAGAUAUUCGCAAGAACACCAGUGGCGAAGGCGGCCAACUGGACCAACACUGACGCUGAGGCGCGAAAGCGUGGGGAGCAAACAGG